GUCUCCGGUUUACCUUAUUGGCUGGUGAGUUUGAUUUUGAAAAAUUUCACGUUUUUUGUUUAUCCAAUUAUGGACUUGGUGGUUUCGAAACGAUCGUUUGAUUGUAUUUGCUAUUCUCUAGUCACUGAAACUAUAUGGUAGUGAGCGAUAAACUAUCCGACCUCCAUGUGAUCCAGUUUGUUUAUUUUUAGUUUUUCUCCCCCUUUAUUGAGUUUUUCAUUUGAAAUUGAUUCCAUUUCCCUGUAUGUACUGGCUGAGAGUUUUCAUCCUCAAAUAAAUUUAGGAUUUUGAAUCCUUCCCUUUUGUGUUUACUUUAUGGGCUCUUUUUUUUGGGUACUUGGAGAGCUAGUACUUAUUUCAUGGAAUUGGAAUAGUUGCUUCCUGGUGCAGUUGCAUCAGUCAUCAUUUAUGAUCAAGUUUUCGCAAACAAUAGCAUGGAGUUCAUUUGUCCUAGUUAAUACUUGGGUUUGGAUUUUUUUAGUUUUUUAGGUGGCUUGAUACAUUCA
rnacentral:misc_RNA from 1 species